GGUUAAGCGACUAAGCGUACACGGUGGAUGCCCUGGCAGUCAGAGGCGAUGAAGGACGUGCUAAUCUGCGAAAAGCGUCGGUAAGGUGAUAUGAACCGUUAUAACCGGCGAUGUCCGAAUGGGGAAACCCAGUGCAAUUCGUUGCACUAUCGUUAACUGAAUACAUAGGUUAACGAGGCGAACCGGGGGAACUGAAACAUCUAAGUACCCCGAGGAAAAGAAAUCAACCGAGAUUCCCCCAGUAGCGGCGAGCGAACGGGGAGCAGCCCAGAGUCUGAAUCAGCUUGUGUGUUAGUGGAACGGUCUGGAAAGUCCGACGGUACAGGGUGAUAGUCCCGUACACCAAAAUGCACAGGCUGUGAACUCGAAGAGUAGGGCGGGACACGUGGUAUCCUGUCUGAAUAUGGGGGGACCAUCCUCCAAGGCUAAAUACUCCUGACUGACCGAUAGUGAACCAGUACCGUGAGGGAAAGGCGAAAAGAACCCCGGCGAGGGGAGUGAAAAAGAACCUGAAACCGUGUACGUACAAGCAGUGGGAGCACCUUCGGGUGUGACUGCGUACCUUUUGUAUAAUGGGUCAGCGACUUAUAUUCUGUAGCAAGGUUAACCGUAUAGGGGAGCCGCAGGGAAACCGAGUCUUAACUGGGCGUUAAGUUGCAGGGUAUAGACCCGAAACCCGGUGAUCUAGCCAUGGGCAGGUUGAAGGUUGGGUAACACUAACUGGAGGACCGAACCGACUAAUGUUGAAAAAUUAGCGGAUGACUUGUGGCUGGGGGUGAAAGGCCAAUCAAACCGGGAGAUAGCUGGUUCUCCCCGAAAGCUAUUUAGGUAGCGCCUCGUGAACUCAUCUUCGGGGGUAGAGCACUGUUUCGGCUAGGGGGUCAUCCCGACUUACCAACCCGAUGCAAACUACGAAUACCGAAGAAUGUUAUCACGGGAGACACACGGCGGGUGCUAACGUCCGUCGUGAAGAGGGAAACAACCCAGACCGCCAGCUAAGGUCCCAAAGUCAUGGUUAAGUGGGAAACGAUGUGGGAAGGCACAGACAGCCAGGAUGUUGGCUUAGAAGCAGCCAUCAUUUAAAGAAAGCGUAAUAGCUCACUGGUCGAGUCGGCCUGCGCGGAAGAUGUAACGGGGCUAAACCAUGCACCGAAGCUGCGGCAGCGACACUAUGUGUUGUUGGGUAGGGGAGCGUUCUGUAAGCCUGCGAAGGUGUGCUGUGAGGCAUGCUGGAGGUAUCAGAAGUGCGAAUGCUGACAUAAGUAACGAUAAAGCGGGUGAAAAGCCCGCUCGCCGGAAGACCAAGGGUUCCUGUCCAACGUUAAUCGGGGCAGGGUGAGUCGACCCCUAAGGCGAGGCCGAAAGGCGUAGUCGAUGGGAAACAGGUUAAUAUUCCUGUACUUGGUGUUACUGCGAAGGGGGGACGGAGAAGGCUAUGUUAGCCGGGCGACGGUUGUCCCGGUUUAAGCAUGUAGGCUGAUUGUCCAGGCAAAUCCGGAUAAUCAAGGCUGAGGUGUGAUGACGAGGCACUACGGUGCUGAAGUAACAAAUGCCCUGCUUCCAGGAAAAGCCUCUAAGCAUCAGGUAACAUCAAAUCGUACCCCAAACCGACACAGGUGGUCAGGUAGAGAAUACCAAGGCGCUUGAGAGAACUCGGGUGAAGGAACUAGGCAAAAUGGUGCCGUAACUUCGGGAGAAGGCACGCUGGUGUGUAGGUGAAGUCCCUGCGGAUGGAGCUGAGACCAGUCGAAGAUACCAGCUGGCUGCAACUGUUUAUUAAAAACACAGCACUGUGCAAACACGAAAGUGGACGUAUACGGUGUGACGCCUGCCCGGUGCCGGAAGGUUAAUUGAUGGGGUUAUCCGUAAGGAGAAGCUCUUGAUCGAAGCCCCGGUAAACGGCGGCCGUAACUAUAACGGUCCUAAGGUAGCGAAAUUCCUUGUCGGGUAAGUUCCGACCUGCACGAAUGGCGUAAUGAUGGCCAGGCUGUCUCCACCCGAGACUCAGUGAAAUUGAACUCGCUGUGAAGAUGCAGUGUACCCGCGGCAAGACGGAAAGACCCCGUGAACCUUUACUAUAGCUUGACACUGAACAUUGAGCCUUGAUGUGUAGGAUAGGUGGGAGGCUUUGAAGCGUGGACGCCAGUCUGCGUGGAGCCAACCUUGAAAUACCACCCUUUAAUGUUUGAUGUUCUAACGUUGGCCCCUUACCGGGGUUGCGGACAGUGUCUGGUGGGUAGUUUGACUGGGGCGGUCUCCUCCCAAAGCGUAACGGAGGAGCACGAAGGUUAGCUAAUCCUGGUCGGACAUCAGGAGGUUAGUGCAAUGGCAUAAGCUAGCUUGACUGCGAGCGUGACGGCGCGAGCAGGUGCGAAAGCAGGUCAUAGUGAUCCGGUGGUUCUGAAUGGAAGGGCCAUCGCUCAACGGAUAAAAGGUACUCCGGGGAUAACAGGCUGAUACCGCCCAAGAGUUCAUAUCGACGGCGGUGUUUGGCACCUCGAUGUCGGCUCAUCACAUCCUGGGGCUGAAGUAGGUCCCAAGGGUAUGGCUGUUCGCCAUUUAAAGUGGUACGCGAGCUGGGUUUAGAACGUCGUGAGACAGUUCGGUCCCUAUCUGCCGUGGGCGCUGGAGAAUUGAGGGGGGCUGCUCCUAGUACGAGAGGACCGGAGUGGACGCAUCACUGGUGUUCGGGUUGUCAUGCCAAUGGCACUGCCCGGUAGCUAAAUGCGGAAGAGAUAAGUGCUGAAAGCAUCUAAGCACGAAACUUGCCCCGAGAUGAGUUCUCCCUGAGACUUUAAGUCUCCUGAAGGAACGUUAAAGACGAUGACGUUGAUAGGCCGGGUGUGUAAGCGCAGCGAUGCGUUGAGCUAACCGGUACUAAUGAACCGUGAGGCUUAACCUU
rnacentral:rRNA from 1 species